UACGAAGGGGGGCUAGCGUUGCUCGGAAUCACUGGGCGUAAAGCGCACGUAGGCGGAUUUUUAAGUCAGGGGUGAAAAUCCUGGAGCUCAACUCCAGAACUGCCUUUGAUACUGGGAAUCUCGAGUCCGGAAGAGGUGAGUGGAACUGCGAGUGUAGAGGUGAAAUUCGUAGAUAUUCGGAAGAACACCAGUGGCGAAGGCGGCUCACUGGUCCGGUACUGACGCUGAGGUGCGAAAGCGUGGGGAGCAAACAGG
rnacentral:rRNA from 1 species